CCUACGGGCGGCAGCAGUGGGGAAUAUUGGUCAAUGGACGAGAGUCUGAACCAGCCAAGUAGCGUGAAGGAUGACUGCCCUAUGGGUUGUAAACUUCUGUUAUCAGGGAAUAAAACGCGGCACGUGUGCCUUUUUGCAUGUACUUUAUGAUUAAGGAUGGGCGAACUCCGUGCCAGCAGCCGCGGUAAUACGGAGGAUCGGAGCGUUAGUCGGAUUUAUUGGGUUUAAAGGGAGCGUAGAUGGGUUGUUAAGUCAGUUGUGAAAGUUUGCGGCUCAACCGUAAAAUUGCAAUUGAAACUGGCAGUCUUGAGUACAGUUGAGGUAGGCGGAAUUCGUGGUGUAGCGGUGAAAUGCGUAGAUAUCACGAAGAACCCCGAUUGCGAAGGCAGCUUACUAAACUGUGACUGACAUUGAUGCUCGAAAGUGUGGGUAUCAAACAGGAUUAGAUACCCCGGUAGUC
rnacentral:rRNA from 1 species